GCAGGGAUGGCAGAGCUUGGCCAAAUGCGGGGGCCUUAAGAGCCCCUCCCUUAGGGGUUCGCCGGUUCAAAUCCGGCUCCCUGCA
rnacentral:tRNA from 1 species